GUGAGCUGCACCUCGACGGCAAUUUCUUACAAUGUUCCGGAGCUCUGGCUCUCCUCAGACCCAUCGCGGACUAUGCAGAGAUGCAGGGUAGAGAGCAGCCGGCCAUGGCCCCACCAGACCCUGGGAGUCCCCCUCAUCAGCUGCAGGCCAAACAGAGGGGCAGUUCGGCUUUGAACCAGAUUACAGAGUCGCCUGGAACUCUAACACAGAAAACUACUUCAGGGAAGGAGAGGAGGAAAAAAGGUAUGUGGUUGUGGAUUCAACUAGCCCUUCGUCUUCCUUCAUCUGUAAAUCCCUUCCACCUGUCAUGGGCUGUUAGUUCCUGCUACUUCAGUAACUACCCCAAACAGAAAAACUCCUAUGGAGAGAAAGAAGACCCGGUGUCUUAUGGUUUCCUAUAAACCAAACACAGAGCACCUUGGGCAUAU
rnacentral:lncRNA from 1 species